AUGGCCACAGGGCCUUCUCCCGCCUUCUCUUCCUGUCUGAACACAGAGGCAGCCAGGCUGGGCUGGGAGGGCGGUGACCAAGAGGCUGCCUCCUGCAGGUGCUUUGCCUGCAGGCUGCCCGCUUUCCCCUCCACACCCCCCUCUCCCAGGGCCUCCCGCCCUCCUCCUCUGAACUCCAGACACGGGUGGGGGCGGUUCUCAGAGAAGCAGAGCCAGGGGCACGGGCAGACAGCUGCAGGUGCAUCCACAGAAGUGCUUGCUGGGGUCAGCGGCCCGCCUCCCCACCCCCCCCCGGCCCCUGCCCCACCGGAGGGGCUGCCUUCAAGGAGACAGGAGGCGAACCACAUGCUCUUCCACCCAAGAAAGGGGAGCUGCCGGGGGGGGAAGCCUGGUGUGUGCUGUGCCUCUUCACUAACCCUUGGAAAUGGAGUUCACCUCGGAGGCUUCCUCAGGGCCCCCGGGGUCCCCCCGGAGCAAAGCGUGCGUGUCCUGGAAACUAACAUGAUACCCUCCACUCAUUUGCCAGAUGUCAGCCAGCUCCAGGGCCACCACUGGCCCAUGGCGGAUCACUCCGGAAACAGAGGAAGUCUCCUCUGCAGCUCCCUCCUGGGUGUGACGGCCACAGGGGCUCCCAAGCCAGCUUCUUUCGAGGCGCCUGCAGAGUGGUCCCGAGAGGGAGGCCGAAAUGCUCUCCACCACCCAUCAGUCCUGCGCCCAACCCACCUGCCAACACCUGCGUUAAGUCAGAACGGCCAGAGGAAGAUCCUGCCAGCAUUUCCCCCGAGCUGGUCCACAGGCCCCUCCGGCCGGGAACCCGUUCCGGGAGCUGUCCGUUGGCAAACAGAGAGCCCACAGUGCCUCGGGAAAAAUUGGCUGAAUAAAAGGUAUAAAGACUUUCUCUUUUUAUUCCCCCACCCCGUCCCCCGAAUAGUUUUUGACAGAUGUGAGCAUGUUGAGCAUCUUGGGAGCUGCUGCUGA
rnacentral:lncRNA from 12 species